rnacentral:rRNA from 1 species
CAGUCGCCGCGGGAAUGCGUAGGUGGCAAGCGUUGUCCGGAAUUAUUGGGCGUAAAGGGCUCGCAGGCGGUUUCUUAAGUCUGAUGUGAAAGCCCCCGGCUCAACCGGGGAGGGUCAUUGGAAACUGGGAAACUUGAGUGCAGAAGAGGAGAGUGGAAUUCCACGUGUAGCGGUGAAAUGCGUAGAGAUGUGGAGGAACACCAGUGGCGAAGGCGACUCUCUGGUCUGUAACUGACGCUGAGGAGCGAAAGCGUGGGGAGCGAACAGGAUUAGAGACCCCUGUAGUCCCUGUCUCUUAUAC